GAUGAACGCUGGCGGCGUGCCUAAUACAUGCAAGUCGAGCGAACAGACGAGGAGCUUGCUCCUCUGACGUUAGCGGCGGACGGGUGAGUAACACGUGGAUAACCUACCUAUAAGACUGGGAUAACUUCGGGAAACCGGGGCUAAUACCGGAUAAUAUAUUGAACCGCAUGGUUCAAUAGUGAAAGACGGUUUUGCUGUCACUUAUAGAUGGAUCCGCGCCGCAUUAGCUAGUUGGUAAGGUAACGGCUUACCAAGGCAACGAUGCGUAGCCGACCUGAGAGGGUGAUCGGCCAAACUGGAACUGAGACACGGUCCAGACUCCUACGGGAGGCAGCAGUAGGGAAUCUUCCGCAAUGGGCGAAAGCCUGACGGAGCAACGCCGCGUGAGUGAUGAAGGUCUUCGGAUCGUAAAACUCUGUUAUUAGGGAAGAACAAAUGUGUAAGUAACUAUGCACGUCUUGACGGUACCUAAUCAGAAAGCCACGGCUAACUACGUG
rnacentral:rRNA from 1 species